GGUGAACGCUGGCGGCGUGCCUAAUACAUGCAAGUCGAGCGAACGGACGAAAAGCUUGCUUCUCUGAUGUUAGCGGCGGACGGGUGAGUAACACGUGGAUAACCUACCUAUAAGACUGGGAUAACUUCGGGAAACCGGAGCUAAUACCGGAUAAUAUUUUGAACCGCAUGGUUCAAAAGUGAAAGACGGUCUUGCUGUCACUUAUAGAUGGAUCCGCGCUGCAUUAGCUAGUUGGUAAGGUAACGGCUUACCAAGGCAACGAUGCAUAGCCGACCUGAGAGGGUGAUCGGCCACACUGGAACUGAGACACGGUCCAGACUCCUACGGGAGGCAGCAGUAGGGAAUCUUCCGCAAUGGGCGAAAGCCUGACGGAGCAACGCCGCGUGAGUGAUGAAGGUCUUCGGAUCGUAAAACUCUGUUAUUAGGGAAGAACAUAUGUGUAAGUAACUGUGCACAUCUUGACGGUACCUAAUCAGAAAGCCACGGCUAACUACGUG
rnacentral:rRNA from 1 species